rnacentral:rRNA from 1 species
CAGUCGACGCUUCUUUCCUCCCGAGUGCUUGCACUCAAUUGGAAAGAGGAGUGGCGGACGGGUGAGUAACACGUGGGUAACCUACCCAUCAGAGGGGGAUAACACUUGGAAACAGGUGCUAAUACCGCAUAACAGUUUAUGCCGCAUGGCAUAAGAGUGAAAGGCGCUUUCGGGUGUCGCUGAUGGAUGGACCCGCGGUGCAUUAGCUAGUUGGUGAGGUAACGGCUCACCAAGGCCACGAUGCAUAGCCGACCUGAGAGGGUGAUCGGCCACACUGGGACUGAGACACGGCCCAGACUCCUACGGGAGGCAGCAGUAGGGAAUCUUCGGCAAUGGACGAAAGUCUGACCGAGCAACGCCGCGUGAGUGAAGAAGGUUUUCGGAUCGUAAAACUCUGUUGUUAGAGAAGAACAAGGACGUUAGUAACUGAACGUCCCCUGACGGUAUCUAACCAGAAAGCCACGGCUAACUACGUGCCAGCAGCCGCGGUAAUACGUAGGUGGCAAGCGUUGUCCGGAUUUAUUGGGCGUAAAGCGAGCGCAGGCGGUUUCUUAAGUCUGAUG